AAUUUUUAAUAAUGGAUUUCUUGGUUUUGGUAUUGAUGAAGAAUAUAGUAAAAUGUAAUAAGUAAUGUGAAUUGUAGAAUUUAAUAAAUUAUUGAAUUUUUAAAUAUAUAUUAUAUUUAUUAAUAUUUUAGCGAGUAUAUUUGUUUGAGCGUUA
rfam:Neurospora crassa OR74A unplaced genomic scaffold supercont12.8, whole genome shotgun sequence.